rnacentral:tRNA from 1 species
GGGGUUGUAGCUCAGCGGCAAAGCGCUUGCCUAGCAUGUAUGAGGCACUGGGUUCGAUCCUCAGCCCCA